AUUGCGGUGGUUAUGAAUCAUGUGACCUCCAGCUACAUGACUCCUGAACCAUAAUUCUAAUCUUGUAGCCAAUUUGUUAGUUUUACAAAAGUGGUUUUGGUCCCAGAGCAAGGAGGAGGUUUCCACAAAUGCUGUGGUCUGUUGUAGUCUGUUCAUGCUUACCAGCAAGAUGCUGAAAAGUAAACUUGAAACUCCAUUUAAUGAGAUGGGCUUGCAGACUUGUGGGCUUCACUGAGCAAAUACCAAAUCCCUGAAGGAUGGUCGCAGAGGUCCAGAACGUAGAGGGUCAGAACCUGCAGGAGCAGGUUUGCCCUGAGCCCAUUUUCAGGUUCUUCAGAGAAAACAAGGUGGAGAUUGCAAGUGCAAUAACAAGGCCAUUUCCUUUCCUUAUGGGCCUCCGAGACCGCUCCUUCAUCUCUGAGCAGAUGUAUGAACAUUUUCAAGAAGCUUUUAGAAACCUGGUCCCAGUGGCAAGAGUGAUGUAUUGUGUACUCAGUGAACUGGAGAAGACAUUUGGCUGGUCACAUCUGGAAGCAUUGUUCAGCAGGAUUAACCUGAUGGCCUAUCCUGAUUUAAACGAGAUUUACAGAAGCUUCCAAAAUGAAAAUUUAUCAUUCAGUGCAGUCCUGUGUCAACUUGUUUCUCCAAACAAAGACUGGAGAAGUCAUGAAGAGAGCCUAACACAUACUGGUACACUGAGGAGGAGCUGCAUGUGAAAGCUAUGAAGACAGAAAAGGGGGUUGGUGGAGGCCUUUCCGAACCAUGUGGUUGAAUCACAGACUGUGGGAGGGAGGGUGUGAGAGCUGACUCUGGAGAAAGAAGUUGAAGUGGAUUCUGGAGGGCUUGACACCCUGUGCUAAGGAAUCUGGAGUUUAGUUUUUGGAAAAUAAGCAAUAAAAGACAUUU
rnacentral:sRNA from 1 species